rnacentral:rRNA from 1 species
UACGGGGGGAGCAAGCGUUGUUCGGAUUUACUGGGCGUAAAGGGCGCGUAGGCGGCCAUCGCAAGUCAAUUGUGAAAUCUCCGGGCUUAACUCGGAAAGGUCAACUGAUACUGCGAGGCUAGAGUGCGGAAGGGGCAACUGGAAUUCUCGGUGUAGCGGUGAAAUGCGUAGAUAUCGAGAGGAACACCUGCGGCGAAGGCGGGUUGCUGGGCUGAUACUGACGCUGAGGCGCGAAAGCAUGGGGAGCGAACAGG